rnacentral:misc_RNA from 1 species
GAUGAAGAACGCAGCGAAAUGCGAUAAGUAAUGUGAAUUGCAGAAUUCAGUGAAUCAUCGAAUCUUUGAACGCAUCUUGCGCUCCUUGGUAUUCUGAGGAGCAUGCCUGUUUGAGUGUCAUUAAAUUCUCAACUACACUGACUUUGAAUUGGUGUGGCUUGGAUUUGGGGGGAAAAUUGUUGUGGGCUUUUUGUAUAGUCUGCUCCCCUGAAAUUGAUUAGCGGUACCUUUGUGGAACUGUCUACAGGUGUGAUAAUUAUCUACAUCUUAGACAUCUGCUGGAAUGCUGCUCUCUAAACCUUACUUGUAUUGACAAUCUUGACCUCAAAUCAGGUAGGACUACCCGCUGAACUUAAGCAUAUCAAAGCGGAGGA